UUUUUUUUUUUUAUGUAUUUAGGUUGGGCAUUAUCUGCAUUUUUAUUAACUUACCUUCCAAUGUUCGGCAUUAUCUGCAUUUUUAACUUUUAUGGUGUGGUCGUUCUCCGGAUCCACAUAUUGCAGGAGCUUUAGAGCAUCGGGAUACCCUUUUUCAAUGUGAUUUAUAAUUUGUCCUACUGUAUUAAUCUAUAUUUUUUUUUAUAACCGUGGUGUUCGGGCCAGCUUGCACGCAUCUCGACUAAAUUCACUGGAUACCUGCCACCUCCCACCAAUAACAGGUACCAGGUAACUCUGUCCACCAAGGCUAAAACAGAUGGAAAGAAAACGCCUAGUGUUUUUCUCUGCUGGGAAUUGAACCUGAGACCUCAUGAUGUCCAUUCUAACUUUAUUGAACCGCUAGGCCACACCAAACUAGUGUAUUAAUCUAUAGUGGCUCCAUUUACAUGCCAAUCAAGGAAUAUAGAUGUGUAUUAUGUUUAUGACUAAGGUGGGGUUGGAUUUGGGAUGACGCAUGUGUUCUAUAUCUUGGUUGAGUAAGUUGAAAUAUUUUAUUACAUAAACAUUUCUUCCACUUGUCCGUCAUAGGAAGCCGUCCAAGAUUCAAUAUGUUUAUAAAGAGAACAAGAGUACUUAAUGGUUAAUCUUGAUGGUCAUUUCAAGCUUCAUAAUAUAAUUUUCUUUGAUUUUGGGUCAUGGGACAUUGUUGUUUCUCUUUGCUACGGAAAUUAGUUAAUAUCUUUAAAGAAGAUGAUCGUGGAAUACUUUUCUAUGGAAGCUUCCCUUUCUGUCGCUAAAGCAAUCUAGUAAAUCCUUAUCAUGAGCACCAUUUCAACUCCAUAUGACAGUAUUUUAUCACUUAGAGAAAAUUACUUACAAUCUUAAAAUGCUUAUUUGUUGAUAAUGGGAAAAUCUACAUAUGGUCCAGUUUACAAGAGACUUACAUUCUUAACUGCUUAUCUGUUGAUAGUGUGACAAUCGGUGCAGUCUACUAUUAGAGUUGCUCGUCUUGAUGUUGUUCAAAUAAAACUUUUUCUAUAGUUGUUUUCAGCAUAUUCUUUAUAAUUUGAUUUCUUCAUUUGUAGAAAGUGCAUUUUGUUGUAGAAUUAUGGUUUGAAGAAAGUAAGAUAUGACUUAGCAGAGUCCAAAAUCAAGGCCCUGAUGAUGUGGUACUUGUUCUUUAUUUCAUUUCUUUAUUUAAUUCCACAUAGGCUAUUUGUGAAUUCUUUUUUGGAUUGUACCCUCGUUAUUAUGACAAUGUUUUAGUCCCCCAAAGAUCUCCUAAAUAGAUUAUUCAUAGAAAUAAAAGGCAUCUCGUCAAAGAUAAUUCUUUUUAUUGUAAAGGAGGAAAGUCAUUAAAAAAAGCUAAUAAUUUCUCAUUUCUGCAUAAUUUUCAACGAUUUCAUCACCUUGCUUACUAUAAUCAUAGAUAUCGACAUCUUAUUUAUCUCUUCUUUUCCCAUCAUAGUUUAACAGAUACCUUUUGAUGGAAUGAGACUUUAUCCCUCUCCUUGAUGGGAAAACAACUAGAUUUAUUUUCUUCAAAUGUCUUAUCAAGUUUUUGAAGACUUCUUAACACAAUUGCAAGUGUUCCUAAAAUUUUUGUUAACUGAUUUAUUUUCUUAUUGCUGAACCAUUCCACAAUAGAGCUUUUAAAAAUUUUUGAAUUACAGUUUAGUUAUGCUUCACUGAUUUUGUUUUCUUCAUUAAGUUUUGGACGUCAGGAAAAUGAAAUAUCAUUUAAUGAUUCAAGCAUUAAGUGUAGUUAUUGAUGAAGAAAAGAACAGAAGUGUGUAUAAAUUCAAUGUAUGGUACGGUUUUUGAAUGAAGAAGUCCUACUAGAAUCAGAUAACAAUAUAGCAAAGUUCACUAUUUCCUGCUCCCCCAUAUUUCAGAACCCUAACCCUGCUCUUUCAGUCACUGUCAACCAGCUUUAGUCAUUCUUUCCACUUGCUUUAUCUCUUAUCAUGUGUGUUAUUAAAGAUGGAUUAUUUGUACCACCUCUCUUCUUUAUGACCGGUCCUCCCAAAGUCUCUUGUUUAUUCGUCUGUGAUGUCUCAUCUGGUCAUCCUAUCCCUUCCUUGAAUGUAGUGGCUAUGUGAUGCCUGAGCUCUUGGUUUUCCAUGUUUAUGCUUAGCCAUGUGCACAUGAUGAAGAUAGUAAAAUCAAUUUCUCCCAAAAGAUUCUCGCGCCUAAGGUCGUUGUAAAGCCUUGUGUGCCUUCUAUGUGCAUGAUGUGGAGAAAUUUUUGAUCCCCUAAGAACUCUGUAAACUUUUACUUAUGUUAAACUUAUAAUUAUAGAGUUUUUAGUGUACGCUAGAAAUUUCUAAUAUAUUGUGCUCUUUCAUUUUUCACAUUUUAGGUUGUAUUCUAAAUUGACUUUCUAUUUAAAAUAAAUGCAAAUUCAUUUGGAAUCAAAAAAGUUCGUGGAAAGCCAGAAGAAAGAUCUUGCGAAAGCUAUAAAGGGGCAAUUCUAUCAGUAAAGUUGGAAAUAACAACUCAAAAGUUUUUCCACUUCAAACAAGUAGGAGUUCACAAGAUGGGGGAAUGAUAAAAUGAUCAAAUUACAUUAUAUUUUUCAAGAUAAUUCUAUAUUUUUGUCAUAUGACAUAUUACUUUUUUAUAAAUUGAUUGUAUUUGUGACAACAACAAUUUGUCCUAGAAUUGUGUUCUGGUCAAUAAUUAAAAGCAUUAUAUUCUUCAAUUAUGAAUUAAAUUUGUUCUUUAUCACAAUUGUUACGGUCACUAAAUACGGUAAUUUACUGUGACAAUUUUAUUAUGUCAGUAGAAAGAAUAUUUUUAGUAACGUCAAGAUAGAUUUCAGCUUCAAAACUAUAAGCCAUUCUUUAAAAAGCAAAGUUACCGUUAAUGUAUAUAUUUGGGGACAAAAUAUCUUUUCGUAGAUAAAAGAUCGUCUUUAAUGAUGAAACUAUUUUUCUUCAACUAAGAAAUAGAUAUAACUUUAGAGACAAUUAAUGUCGUAACUAAUUAGAUUGAAAAAUUAGUGAUGAGGUAGUUUUGUCGUUGUUAAUAACUUAUUAGUGACGAAAAGAUCUUAUUAACUACAAAUUUUUAUAUUUUUCUUUGCAAAUGAAUUUGUCAUAGAUAUUAUGCAUUCAGAGACAAAAACGACUUUCAUCGCUAAUGAAACUUUAUUUAGCAAUGAAAUACUAAUUUGUCUCUGUAUACAUGUAGUGAUCCAUGGUUUAGGGACGACUGAGUGACAAGAUUUUUUGUCAUGCAAAGUUUUUUGUGAUGAAAUGACAAAAUAAUUCAUCACUCAAAUUUAUUGUAGUGAUACAAUAUGUGAUAUCAG
rnacentral:lncRNA from 1 species